rnacentral:lncRNA from 1 species
CCAACUGGGAGCUGACUUGUCUUGUUCCUUCAACAACAGAGUUAGCCCUGUCCUCUGGUUCACAAUGGACAGAUCUCCUCCUCCAGAUUAAGUCUGGGUGUUCCACAAGAUUUGGGAAGAGAAUUUUAAAGUGCCAGUCCCCAUGCUCAGCCAUAGUCACAGCUGGUGGGUGUGCCACCAGGGAGCUGCCACCCUGGGUCCCAGGUGGGCUUUGCUUCCCAGUGGAGAUUUGCCUGAGGUCUGGCAAACCCUUUGGUUUACUUGCACCUAAAGAGUUGCAGAUAUUUUAUUUUGUUCAGUUCUUGAUGAGAAGGAGCUGUAACCAAGUCUCCUCGAGGCUGGGCCGAGUUGGGGUGGGGAGGAUUGUACCAGUUUUUUAUAUCACUCUCUGCUAAACAUUCCUAAUCUUCUUCCCCCAUCUCAAUAUCAUGUGCUUUGGUCUUCCCAAGCCUGAGAGUCAUCUAUUAGAGAUGGUUUUAAUUCCAGAGUCCAAGGGCUGUAAUUCAGUCCAGAUGGCCCCAACAUUGAGUUCCAAUGGUGCCUUCCCAGUUUCUCCCAAGAAGACUAGGGACUGUUGAUCAGUUAGAACCACCGGUGUCCAGCUGAAUGCAGAGGACUCCCAAUGUGGGUCUGCUGGGGAUGCUUCACACUCUGCUAAACUUACAAUAUUUGCAGGGAAGCCAUCUCUUUCUAGUCUCCUUUACCUGGGUCUUAUGCUUCCAGCAAAUCCUGGUGCUGUGUGGUCUUGGGCAGGUCUCUUGGUCUCUCUGUACCUCCUCUAACAGGGAGAAAGCACUGGUAUCUUGAGGAGCCACGAGAUUUCGGCAUUACUGAGUGAGAUAAUGAUUUCAAGAACUGUAUGCUUCCAGGCAUGCUGUAAGCCCUCAGAGUGUUUGCUGACACCAUCCAUCACUACGUCGUCAAGCAAAGCACCUGCAACUAGACUCAAGACCCUAGUCUUGGUUGUGCCAAAGCACAGUGAAAUUUCUUUCACCGACUUAGAAACUAAGAUUCUAUAUGAUUGAGAGUCUCAUUAACUUUCUCAAAGCUUCAAGAACUUUAUACACUGAGACAGCCCCCUGUCCCCAGAUCACCCCUAGUGCCACCCAGAAACUGUCAAGUUUACAUUUUGCAUUGUAUCUUUCCAUACCUUUUUUUUAAAAAGUAGAAAUCGACUCACACUGUACAUAUUGCUUCAUAAGCUAUUGAUUUUUCUUUAAUAUGCUUUUCUCAGAUCAUUAAAUAUAUUCUUGGGCUAUUGCUAUUUUUAAUGAACUUAUUAUUUUCAGCUGUCCGGGUGAACUCCAGCUACUGGAUGUCUAGAUUGCUCCCAGUGUUAUGCUAUUAUAAACAAUGCUGUGAUGAACAUCCUCAAUUAUUAUCAUUAUCUUUUUCUUAAGUGUUAUAACCAUGCUGAUCAUGUGGACUCAAAGCUCUGAGUUUUAUUAAAACCUGCCACUGCGAAGUCUCAUUACCAUCCCGCCCACCUCAAUCCCGUCCUUGAACAGUAAGUGUUUCGAAGCCAAGUUCAGGACCUGACAUUUAUCUCUGUUUUAUUUUAUCUUAUUAGAUUCAGCCCAUCAGUCCAGCCUGUCUAGAGCCAUCUGGAUUCUGUCGAUGUUUUUGCAAUCUGCCUAGGCCUUUUUUUUUUUUUCUUUUAAGAUUAACUGCAAAUUUGGUAAACAGGCCCU